GGAGAACGCUGGCGGCGUGCUUAACACAUGCAAGUCGAACGGAGAUUAUUAAUGAAGCUUGCGAUUUAAUAAUCUUAGUGGCGGACGGGUGAGUAACGCGUGGGCAACCUACCCAUAAGCGGGGGAUAACAGUUGGAAACGACUGCUAAUACCGCAUAAGCUAUUAAGGUCACAUGACCUUAAUAGUAAAGGUGGCGAUUUUACAUUGCUAUCACUUAUGGAUGGGCCCGCGUCUGAUUAGCUAGUUGGUGGGAUAGCAGCCUACCAAGGCAACGAUCAGUAGCCGGCCUGAGAGGGUGGACGGCCACACUGGGACUGAGACACGGCCCAGACUCCUACGGGAGGCAGCAGGUGGGGAAUAUUGCGCAAUGGGGGAAACCCUGACGCAGCGACGCCGCGUGAGCGAAGAAGGCCUUAGGGUCGUAAAGCUCUGUUGUAAGGGACGAAUGUUUAUCUGGCGAACAGUCAGAUAAAGUGACGGUACCUUACCAGCAAGCCCCGGCUAACUACGUG
rnacentral:rRNA from 1 species